UAGGGAAUCUUCCACAAUGGACGCAAGUCUGAUGGAGCAACGCCGCGUGAGUGAAGAAGGUUUUCGGACCGUAAAGCUCUGUUGUUGGUGAAGAAGGAUAGAGGUAGUAACUGGCCUUUAUUUGACGGUAAUCAACCAGAAAGUCACGGCUAACUACGUGCCAGCAGCCGCGGUAAUACGUAGGUGGCAAGCGUUGUCCGGAUUUAUUGGGCGUAAAGCGAGCGCAGGCGGAAGAAUAAGUCUGAUGUGAAAGCCCUCGGCUUAACCGAGGAAUUGCAUCGGAAACUGUUUUCUUGAGUGCAGAAGAGGAGAGUAGAACUCCAUGUGUAGCGGUGGAAUGCGUAGAUAUAUGGAAGAAUACCAGUGGCGAAGGCGGCUCUCUGGUCUGCAACUGACGCUGAGGCUCGAAAGCAUGGGUAGCGAACAGGAUUAGAUACCCUGGUAGUCCAUGCCGUAAACGAUGAGUGCUAAGUGUUGGGAGGCUUCCGCCUCUCAGUGCUGCAGCUAACGCAUUAAGCACUCCGCCUGGGGGC
rnacentral:rRNA from 1 species